CGAGUGGAAACACUUACAUUAAUUGUAAUACAACAUCAGUUUCUCACUCUGUUGCCCAGGCUAGAGUACCAUGGUACAAUUUCAGCUCACUAUAGCCACCACCUCCCGCGUUCCAGUAAUUCUCCUGCCUCAGCCUCUAGAGCAGCUGAGAUUACAGUCGUGCACCACCAUGCCCAGGAAAUUGGGACACAGACACAAAGAGAAAACAAUGUCAUGUGAAGACAGAGGCAAAGAGUGGAGUGACAGAUGUACAAGCGAAGAACCUCAAGAGCGCCGGCAGUUACCAGAAGCUUAGAGUUAGGGAAGGAUCAUCAUCUGAAGCAAGUCCUGGCCUGUCAACAUGUUGAUUUCAGACUACUAGACUCCAGAAAAGUAAGAUAAAAAAUCUUUAAUAUUUGAAGGUGCCCAAUUUGUGGUAAUUUGUUCCUGCAGCCUGAGCAAACUAACAAGCUCACUUUCAGUUCAAUUUCAUGGAAGAAUAGAACAAUCUUUUGGUCCCAUAACACAACUCCUCAGUGGAGAACUCUGAGUGAUUUUAAAAAGACAUACCAAAUAUUGUCCCUUUUAUGCUCAAAAUGAUCCAGUAUUUCUAUGUCAUUCUUAAAAUAAAAACUAAUAUAAUGUCUACAGGCUUA
rnacentral:lncRNA from 1 species